UAAAUGCUGCAGAAUUGUGCUU
rnacentral:miRNA from 2 species